rnacentral:lncRNA from 1 species
UUGGGGUAAAGGUUGAGUAAAGUCGGCCAAAGUUAAAGGUCUAGGUAAGUCAUUUCGAGCUAAAGGUCAAAUCGAGUUGGCUCAAGCUGAAUAUCGAGUUGCAUCGAGACCGAAGGUCAGGCAACACGACCAAAGGACAAGUAGCAACAACCCAACCAAAGGUUGGCUAGCAUUGGCCCCAACCGAAGGUUGAGCUGUGCCAGCCUCAAACGAAGAUCAAGUCAUGCUUGCCCCGACCGAGAGUCAAGCGAAGUUGACCCUGACCAAAAUUCAAGUCGAGUCAACCCCGAGAGAAGGUUGAGCUUAGGUCGAGUCGUCUUGACUGUUAAACUGCCUUUUAGUCGCCUAAGGCAAAACAAAGAACCGGUCCCCAUUAAUGAAGUAUAGGGCAACCAGAAUACCAAUCCUAGGACUCAGCUAAUUAAGAUUAAAGUGUAGGGUUAGGUUGAUGGGUGUCGCAACCCAUACAAAUUUAAUUGCAUAUUAGAAAUGCAGUAUAGCUAGGGAAUGACUCCUAGGUCGUCUCUCAAGGACCAAUUUUGUGGUUCGAGAAUUAGGUCUAACACGAAAGGGGGGGGUUUGAACAGUGUUCUUGAAAUGAUAAUUAAGCUUAAUUAAAGUGCAUGAAAACAUUAAACUAAACACUGCAACAAAUAAAUAUUCAAACAAAACUAAAAUUAUUAAAAUUGCAACACUUAAUUAAAAAGAUAAAAAAAAACAAUUCAUGUAAGAUAUUCUAACAAUGCAAAAGAAAUUAAAAAAAAAAACAUAAAACUAUUUUAGCAUUACGUGACAUGUUAAACUUCCAAGGAUUUCAUGAAAAAGAAAAUAUCAAAAGAAAAAUAAUUGGACAAAUUGAAAAGCUGCUGGACAUCCGUGACACAUGCUAUAUCAUUUAGCAUAAUUGGAAUAACUUUUCCUAAUGUCUUCUUCCUACUAGGCAUGAUGCAACGCUGCACCACUUCCAAAGAGAGAAAAUAAAACUUGUUUUUCCUAAUUAAAUCAUCACCGUGCAAUGUGUGCCUUUUCCAAAUUAAAAUGUGAAUCAGCCAUUUAAAACAAAAGUAAAUAAAAACCGUAUGCCACCUCCAGCUUAAAUUAAAAUGAACUGUGCCUCUUCAAAUGUAAAGAAAAUCAACGCUUCUCUCAAGCUUCAUUCCAGCAACGUGCAGCUCACUCCAAGCAAUACAUCAACGUGUGCACCUCCAAUUUUUCUAGCUGCCAGCUACANGAAUUAAAUUAAAAUGCAACAAGUUGAUACAAAUGAAAGUAACACCGUAUACACAUGAAAAAGGAAGAGAAAUUGUUGUUCUUUCAUUCAACCCAAGUAACAGCAUUGCAAGAAGAAAAAGAAAAAAAAAAUCUAUUCAUUCCUCCAUGAAUGUUAAAAACUCGUGAG